rnacentral:rRNA from 1 species
GAUGAACGCUGGCGGCGUGCCUAACACAUGCAAGUCGAACGGCAAGACACUGAGAUUUUGCUCUUACCGUUUGCGGGUGGCGGGCGGGUCACGCGUGCAUCACAAUCUUCUCUUUCGGGGAUCAUUACGUAACGAAGGUUACUCUAAUACCGCAUAUGUUGCACCGGUGAGUGCAUUGGAUAUUCUCGGCUUUUGCGAAUGAAAUAGCCGGUUUCGGGCUAGCUAGUUGGGUGGGUAAAGUCCCAGCAAGGCGACGAUCCGUAGCUUGACUGAGAGGAUGAUCGGCCACACUGGAACUGAGACACGGUCAAGACUCCUACGGGAGGCAGCAGUAGGGAAUAUUGGGCAAUGGGCGAAAGCCUGACCCAGCGAUACCGCGUGGGUGAUGAAGGCCUUCGGUUCGUAAAGCCCUCUUAUUGGGAAAGAACAGCUGCCGAUUGAAACAAAGCUGUCGUGACGGUAACGAAUCAAAAAGCACCGGCUAACUACGUG